CGCGUUUAUUCGUCAUUGUAUUUCCCUGCAUCAAAUGUCGUGAUGAACAUGUGUUACUUUCCGGUUGUCGUUGUCAAACUUUAAUGGUUUCUCUCAUAUUAAGCCAUACAUCUUAUUUUAGAGAGCUUAACUUAACAACAAAUGAAAAGAUUGUAAAAUAAAGGGAUGUGGUAUGAUUGCCAAUGAGACAAUUAUCCAACAUAUCCCAAAUGAAGCAAACUCCAGUUUUAUAAUUGUACAGUUUCCAUAUGUAUGUAGCAAUGAAAUUAUCUAUGAAUAAACGAAGAUAUGCGGACAUUUCAAUGAGGAAAUAACAUAACUACACAAGAAAACCAGAAAAUAUUUUUUUUUACAGUGAUCCACAAUCAUGUAUCUUCGUGUAAGGCAUGCCUGUACCAGAAUAUUACCCUUCUAUCCUCAGUUUACGGGGAUGGUUCAUACUAGACUGAUAUAGAUCAAAAGCUCUCAUCAAGAUAUGCAUAACAUUCCCCAUUUCUUUGACAUUCCCCAUUUCCAUUCUCAAUUUUAAAACAACCUUUUUUAGGCGUAAUGACAUUUGUUAUGACAUUUUCGAAGAAUGUUCAAGAAAGAUCUACGAGAAACCAAGCAAACUUUGCAAUAGUGUAUCACCGAUAUUUCAUAUAAACAAAGUCACUUUUAAAAUAUAUGGUGGUAAGACAAGUUUCAUGUAAAAAAUCUCCCCCUUACAAAACAAGUGAAAUAGGGAAUGAUUUUUUUAAAAACACUUAGAUUCCUCCAAUUAUAUUUAACAGAAGUAGAAUCUUCUGGUUCAAAAAGGUAGAAUCUACUGGUUCAAAAAGCUCAUUGGGUUCAUCAAGACGUUCAAUAAAAUAAAUAACUAUAUUUUGCCAAAAAUAUGAUAAUAGAAAUAUAAAGUUUAAUUGGUCAUUUUUUUUAUACACUUUAAAUACCAUUGAAAUUGUUCUAAGAUCAAAAGUCAUGAGUCUCUUUGACCCUAUUAGAUAAACCAAUCAAGACUGACAAAUCAGAACGAUUUAUGUACGAAAUAUUUCGACUAGUCUUGUAUGUUGCAUUAAACUCAAACAAUAAGCUUGUUCUUGGAGUAAAGUAUCUUUCAAUAAUGUACGGCAAAUUUCUGUUGUAUUUAUUUCACCAGCGGCGUAUAUUUCAGGUAGUCGAUACUGUAAUUGAUAGUGUCCUUUAUUUUGUCAUUGUACGAAAAAAGUUUUUUUUUUUUAAUAAAAAGACAACAUGAGAAGCGACAAAGGCUGUUAACGUCCACGUCCGGUGGUCUCUGGUGGAUAGUUGUCUCAUUGGGUAUGGGUUUUGUUGAAGGUCUGACGUUGACACUUGUCCUUGUGCUUUAGUCUCUGGUGGAUAGUAGUCUCAUUGGGUAUGGGUUUUGUUGAAGGUCUGACGUUGACACUUGUCCUUGUGCUUUAGUCUCUGGUGGAUAGUAGUCUCAUUGGGUAUGGGUUUUGUUGAAGGUCUUACGGUGACACUAGUCUUGUCCUUGUGUUUUGGUCUCUGGUGACCUUGUGCUUUGGUCUCUGGUGGAUAGUAGUCUCAUUUGGGUAUGGUUUUUGUUGAAGGUCUUACGGUGAAACUAGUCUUGUCCUUGUGCAUUGGUCUCUGAUGGAUAGUAAUCUCAUUAUAUACUGCAGCUGUGAUAUUUGCGCAGUCAAAUUGCAUUGACCGUAUAAUCAUUUGUGAUAUACAGUCACUGACCGUAUAUCGCCUUGUUUAUGACGUUGACAAUGCGUUUACGUAGAGUUUUAUUUAUGACGUCAUUUAAUGUACAGGUUCGCAGAAUGUUUACGUCAUUCGCUCCAAAUUAAAAAAUGAUGGUUUUUACCCUAAAUAUUUUAUUUGGAACAGUUGUAGGAGUUGCAGUAUAUAAAGAAUAACCAUACAUUGUCUCGAAAUAUAAAUUUUAUUUGUA